rnacentral:lncRNA from 1 species
GGUACCUCAGCUGAAGUGUUCUGGUUCUUCCCGGAAGCCGCGUAGUAAGGCUUACUUUCUUUGACCAUCCUUUCUUCUCUUUCUCUCUCUAUAUUUGUGUAUCUAUCUAUAUAUAGGAAUGUGAAGUAUAUGUAUUUCUUGCUCGACAAAAAGGGAUUCAAAUAUCAAGCUUUGAAUUGGUACAAAUUUGAAUCAGACCCAUCAUUUUCUGCAUUCCCAUUUCAAAGAAAUUUACAGUUCUCGGUUAAACUGGCGCGAGAAAGAAUUCAUAUCCGUGAUUAAAGGAGCAUUUGACUCUGAAGUUUGAAUUUCCUGAAUUUCACGCACUAGAACAGAAUAUAUAAAGGGGUGAUCAUAUUCAUUCAGAAUCAUAUAUUUUUGGGACCACAGAAGGGGACGUUAAACUGGUGAGUGAUUUUUGACGCUUUUAGAUUACGAGUUUAGUUAUAAUUGCAAAUCCUUGACUGGUUUUGAUUUUGCCUUUUUGGCGAUGAUAGAUAUUCUUGGUUAUGUUCAAAAAUAAAAAAAUGUUAGCCUGAUUAAUCGGUUUACGAUCAGCUUUUAGUUAGGUAAAUAUUGAUCACAGAAUCAAUUUCCAGGAAGCAUUUCUUGGAAAAUUAAGCAUUGGUUAUGCUGCAGAAUUAGAAUUGAUGCUUAUGUCUUUCAAUUGCAAUCGUAUUUUGUAACUGAGACGUGUUUUUGUGAUCUUUCGAGUUUUGUAAUCUUUGCUAUCAUUUCUUUUUUCAGCUUGGAAAUUGUUUUGAUUUGGCAUUCGCGAUCAGUUUCUGUUCAAGAAACCGGGGAUGACUUUAAGAACGAAUAGCUUUGGUAAAGCAGAUUCAACUGCCAUCAUGAAGGAGAAAGGAUGCAAUAAGAUGGUUAGGGAGAAUUCGAUAAACUUCAGGAACUUCGAGCCCGCAAAAAUAGUCCUUGAAACGACGCUUUCAUUCAAGAAUUUAGUUCAAGAAAUAAGAAAAUCAGAAUCUGAUUAUUCGCAUGCAAAAGUCGANNNNN